GAUGAACGCUGGCGGCGUGCCUAAUACAUGCAAGUCGAGCGAACGGACGAGAAGCUUGCUUCUCUGAUGUUAGCGGCGGACGGGUGAGUAACACGUGGAUAACCUACCUAUAAGACUGGGAUAACUUCGGGAAACCGUAGCUAAUACCGGAUAAUAUUUUGAACCGCAUGGUUCAAAAGUGAAAGACGGUCUUGCUGUCACUUAUAGAUGGAUCCGCGCUGCAUUAGCUAGUUGGUAAGGUAACGGCUUACCAAGGCAACGAUGCAUAGCCGACCUGAGAGGGAGAUCGGCCACACUGGAACUGAGACACGGUCCAGACGCCUACGGGAGGCAGCAGUAGGGAAUCUGCCGCAAUGGGCGAAAGCCUGACGGAGCAACGCCGCGGGAGUGAUGAAGGUCUUCGGACCGUAAAACUCUGUUAUUAGGGAAGAACAUAUGUGUAAGUAACUGUGCACAUCUUGACGGUACCUAAUCAGAAAGCCACGGCUAACUACGU
rnacentral:rRNA from 1 species